CAGACGUCUAGGAAGGAGCAGGAAUGGUUCUUAGUGUGCCCAGGACAGCCCACGUGGAUUUCUGAAAUCACCCCGGAACCCCAGUGGAGCCUGGGAAACCCUGUCCCCCCUGCAGCCCAGCAGCCCAGGGCCCUGGUCUCUACCCGAGAGGUCUGACCGUGCCUCCUGGCACUUCCUGGGGCAGGGGGGAGGCACCCCCUAAGAAGCCAAGCUCCCUUGCUUCUGCCAGCGAGUCAAGGGACGCCGAGGCCACCUGUGGCCCAGUUCCUUCACAUCCAGACAUGUUCCCUGAGCCACUGCCACGCCAGGAAGAGCAGCAACCGUUACCCGGGCAGUCCCCAGCACAACUCAGUUCUCCUCAGAGUGCACCUCAGAAGCAGAAGCGAAGAAUCCAGGGAGCCUUCCCCUGCCCGCCACCCUCCCCGCAGGUCAGUCCAUGGUGCACGGCUAUUCAGUGGCUGCAGUGAGGGCCGCCACCUCCAUCAGCCCCCUCAGCCUCGGCAAACUCAGCCGACAGCCAGGGCAAGCUCCGGCAUUGUUCCUCCGAGUCAGGAGAGGCUGGCCCGUGGGACGGCCAGGGCACCUCCAGGCGGUGAGGAUUUGGUGUUGAAACCCGGAGAAGAGCACAGUCAGAGCAGGAAGAGGCCAACCCUUUCUUGCUCAGGGGCAUAAGAGCUAGGGGAACUCAGCCUACAAUGGACACUGUGGACGCAGGAGGUCACAGGCUUGAGGAACAACGGCUGAUUCCAAGCUGGACCAGCUACCUCACUUGGGCCCUGCAGCUCAGGACAUGCAGCAGCAGCAGCAGCAGCAGCAGCAGCAGCAGCAGCAGCAGCAGCAACAGCUGGCGUUAGAAGCAGCAGCCACUCCAAGUCUCUCUGAUUGCCUGGAGCAGAGGAAGGUUGAUUACUUCCCUCCAGGUGGGGUGGGGGAGCAGACAGGUUCCUACACCUCCUGGGCCAGGCACAGAGUCCUGGGCUUGCUCUGGGAAGGGGGAAGAUGAUGGGGGCAGAAGGGUGCAGAGAAUACGCUCCCUGGUCAACACUUUGGUACUUUGCAGCUGCCCUUGUGAGAGGGCACCUAUAGCCCGGUCAGGAGAAGCUUGGUCACAGCUCCCCGGAGCAGAGAGUCCAGCCCUGAGCAAAUAAAGAAUCCAACCUGCUGGCAGCAGAGAUAAGAGCUCACUCCCGCCACGUUCACCAGCAGCGGCACAUGGAUGUCUGUCUUGCCUUUUAAACAGACCUGUUCCAAACCGAGCACCAGCCUUGGAAAAAAUGCUUGGAUCUGGACACACGAGAGAGAAAAAAAUUAAAACCCCUGUGGAAUUAGCCACCACCUGCAGUGCCCUGUGCAUUGGGGGUGCACAAGAGGCUAGACUCCUGUGAAGACCUGGGAGUCUUCACAUAACUGACUUCCUGAACCCUGAACUUGCUGUGCGGCUUUGAGAGCUGCACUCUGUACCUGGGGUUUUUAUACCUAUAAGAGGUGCCAGCUACUCCAUGCCUCCCAGAAUCAAAGAGGGGAGAGUGGGGUCAUAUACCUGGGGCUCCCCUACAGGGACCCUGCUCAGCUUCCUAAGGCUGCCCAGCAGGACUAGGGCUCAAGCUGCAGCCCAAACACCACCAAGGCUGAACCUGGGCUCAGGGAUCAUGCUCAGAAGGGCGGUGGGCCCAGCACGGCCCUCGAAAGCCCUCUCCCUCCCCCUCACAGUUUCCCUGGAGGAUCCCGACCCCCAUGGCUUGACUUGGACCCUGGCUGCACCCCUGCACUCUCUAUGCAGGUCAGCGCAGCGGCAGUGAAGGGCGAGCCGGCACCGGGGCGAGGGUCUGGGGAGUCAAGUGCAGAAACUGUCCUUUUCCACCCCGGAAGCCAAGAGGCGGGGACCCUUGAGACUGGAACAGGGACCAGAAGGAGAAAGGCACCGUUAUGGCUGGGUGGGUCGGGGUCAGCGACUGCACCCCUGUAGACGCGAGCACUCUCCCACGUGCGGUAGCGGCUGCGACAUUGUGCGCUGGGGGCCAAGGAGCCUCGGCAACCACCCGCAGGGUCCGGAGUCCCUUAGCCCGAGCCCAACUCCCGCCGAUGCACGCCUACUGGCCCUCGGGCCAGGUAGCGGACUCUGCGCCCAAGCCGAGCGCUGCACUGCAGUGAGGCCCGGCAGGCUCCCUCCUCAGGAAGUUUCUUUCCCGCACAGGGAAGGCGCCCUGGCCGCUCCUUGUCCUCCGGCGCCCGCUACGUGAGCUGCAGCUUCCAACACUUGAUACACGGGUUUGAUUCAAAACCUGAUAAAUUGUAUUUAAGGCUAUUUGAAAAUUUUAAACGAAAUUAUUCAAAAGA